UACGAAGGGUGCAAACGUUGCUCGGAAUCAUUGGGCGUAAAGCGCACGUAGGCGGCUUCGCAAGUCGGAUGUGAAAUCCCUCGGCUCAACCGAGGACGUGCAUACGAAACUGCGGAGCUUGAGUGCUGAAGAGGAUCGCGGAAUUCCCGGUGUAGAGGUGAAAUUCGUAGAUAUCGGGAGGAACACCAGUGGCGAAGGCGGCUCUCUGGGCCAUAACUGACGCUGAGGAGCGAAAGCAUGGGGAGCGAACAGGA
rnacentral:rRNA from 1 species